rnacentral:rRNA from 1 species
UGGGGAAUAUUGCACAAUGGGGGAAACCCUGAUGCAGCAACGCCGCGUGAGUGAUGACGGCCUUCGGGUUGUAAAGCUCUGUCUUCAGGGACGAUAAUGACGGUACCUGAGGAGGAAGCCACGGCUAACUACGUGCCAGCAGCCGCGGUAAUACGUAGGUGGCAAGCGUUGUCCGGAUUUACUGGGCGUAAAGGGAGCGUAGGCGGACUUUUAAGUGAGAUGUGAAAUACCCGGGCUCAACCUGGGUGCUGCAUUUCAAACUGGAAGUCUAGAGUGCAGGAGAGGAGAGUGGAAUUCCUAGUGUAGCGGUGAAAUGCGUAGAGAUUAGGAAGAACACCCGUGACGAAGGCGACUCUCUGGACUGUAACUGACGCUGAGGCUCGAAAGCGUGGGGAUCAAACA